rnacentral:tRNA from 1 species
GGGGCUAUAGUUUAAUGGUUUCAAAACAUCCGGCUCCAGCCCGGAAACUGCGGGUUCGAUUCCUGCUAGCCCCA